GCUUGAGGCUGAGACGCCAGCAUGAGCCUGUGGUCCCAGCUGAAGCAGGAGGAGGAUUUGAGGACUUUGGGGCCAGCCUGGGAACAUAGUGAGUUUGCACUGUCACUCAGCACCAUGUUUCGGACCUUCACCCAGACAGACACACAGACAGACAGGAGCCUGUAACUACAGAUCACCCAUCUGAACUGCUGCGAGUAUUUCCUGAUGUGAGACUGCCUUGGUGGAAAGACAUUCGACUGCCUGCACUUUUUUUUUUUUCCUGUGACAUCUAUGGAUUUCUCUCUGGUGCAGAGCACUUUUUCUAGGGCAUGUCCCCAGGGACGGCUCUGCUGCAUCAUAGGGUGUGCAUCGUCACAUCAGGCACUGCCAAAAUGUUUCCCAAAAUG
rnacentral:lncRNA from 1 species